rnacentral:rRNA from 1 species
AUGAACGCUGGCGGCGUGCUUCACACAUGCCAGUCGCACGGUGAAGGCGGAGCUUGCUCUGCUGGAUCAGUGGCGAACGGGUGAGUAACACGUGAGCAAUCUGCCCCUGACUCUGGGAUAAGCGCUGGAAACGGCGUCUAAUACUGGAUACGAGCUGCGAAGGCAUCUUCAGCAGCUGGAAAGAACUUCGGUCAGGGAUGAGCUCGCGGCCUAUCAGCUUGUUGGUGAGGUAACGGCUCACCAAGGCGUCGACGGGUAGCCGGCCUGAGAGGGUGACCGGCCACACUGGGACUGAGACACGGCCCAGACUCCUACGGGAGGCAGCAGUGGGGAAUAUUGCACAAUGGGCGAAAGCCUGAUGCAGCAACGCCGCGUGAGGGACGACGGCCUUCGGGUUGUAAACCUCUUUUAGCAGGGAAGAAGCGAAAGUGACGGUACCUGCAGAAAAAGCGCCGGCUAACUACGUG